rnacentral:rRNA from 1 species
GACGAACGCUGGCGGCGUGCUUAACACAUGCAAGUCGAACGGAAAGGCCCUGCUUUUGUGGGGUGCUCGAGUGGCGAACGGGUGAGUAACACGUGAGUAACCUGCCCUUGACUUUGGGAUAACUUCAGGAAACUGGGGCUAAUACCGGAUAGGAGCUCCUGCUGCAUGGUGGGGGUUGGAAAGUUUCGGCGGUUGGGGAUGGACUCGCGGCUUAUCAGCUUGUCGGUGGGGUAGUGGCUUACCAAGGCUUUGACGGGUAGCCGGCCUGAGAGGGUGACCGGCCACAUUGGGACUGAGAUACGGCCCAGACUCCUACGGGAGGCAGCAGUGGGGAAUAUUGCACAAUGGGCGGAAGCCUGAUGCAGCAACGCCGCGUGCGGGAUGACGGCCUUCGGGUUAUAAACCGCUUUCGCCUGUGACGAAGCGUGAGUGACGGUAAUGGGUAAAGAAGCACCGGCUAACUACGUG